AGCUACCAUGGUCAUUGGCGAAGUCGAGAUUGAGGGUGCCAAAUGGACAAUGGAUAAUGUCAAAUUUUCUAUCAAAGAACCAGAAUGAGCUCAUUUUAGUCAAUUGUCUAAACCUGUCGAUUUGAAUCUGCUUUCUGAACUAUUUAUCCAUUUGAGCUUUGCAGAUCGAGGCGGUUGCAACAAAAGAAGAACUAGAGCACCUUGUGAUGCUUUGCAGAUCUGAGGCUGAUGCAAUGGGGAGGAUCACUGCUGGAAUUCUUCGUCUCCUUAAACUUGACAAAUCUCUUGGGCAAGGAACUAUAGAACAACUACGUAACCUAGGAAGUGGAGGCAUGGACAAUAUCUUUUCACCCAGGAGGCUCAGCAGGCUGAACAGUUUUGGUAGCAUAGGCACUCCUCGGACUCCAACUAUGCAAGCCAUUGCAGACGUCAUGAGUUCGAAAACCACACUGGAAGCAACUAUUUCCUCAUUACAAGGCGAGAUUUCCGAAUCCAAGGCCAAAUGUAUGGCACUGAUUUCUCAGGCAAGCAGCACUGAGGAUCAAAACCGUGCCGAGGACAUCAGGCAGCUUAGCGAAAAGCUCGAGAGCAUGCAAUCGUUGGUGACACAAUUAAAGAACUUUGAUCUGACUAUCUGAGUUGUGCAUGUUUUUUGUGUGUACAGUACACAAGGUCGUUCUGUUCAAACUCGGAAGUGGCAAAUGCUGCUUCCUGGUGGCUGGUUGAGUUAUUCUUUUGUGUACA